UGGCGACGAGUGGCGAACGGGUGAGUAAUACAUCGGAACGUGCCCAGUAGUGGGGGAUAGCCCGGCGAAAGCCGGAUUAAUACCGCAUACGACCUACGGGUGAAAGCGGGGGAUCGCAAGACCUCGCGCUAUUGGAGCGGCCGAUGUCGGAUUAGCUAGUUGGUGGGGUAAAGGCCUACCAAGGCUACGAUCCGUAGCUGGUCUGAGAGGACGACCAGCCACACUGGGACUGAGACACGGCCCAGACUCC
rnacentral:rRNA from 1 species